GUCCCCGUAGCUUAACUGGAUAGAGCGCGGCCCUGCGGAGGCUGAUAUGACAGUUCGAUUCUGUCCGGGGACG
rnacentral:tRNA from 2 species